rnacentral:rRNA from 1 species
CCUACGGGGGGCAGCAGUGAGGAAUAUUGGUCAAUGGACGAGAGUCUGAACCAGCCAAGUAGCGUGAAGGAUGACUGCCCUAUGGGUUGUAAACUUCUUUUAUAUGGGAAUAAAAUGUUCCACGUGUGGGAUUUUGUAUGUACCAUAUGAAUAAGGAUCGGCUAACUCCGUGCCAGCAGCCGCGGUAAUACGGAGGAUCCGAGCGUUAUCCGGAUUUAUUGGGUUUAAAGGGAGCGUAGGUGGAUUGUUAAGUCAGUUGUGAAAGUUUGCGGCUCAACCGUAAAAUUGCAGUUGAAACUGGCAGUCUUGGGUACAGUAGAGGUGGGCGGAAUUCGUGGUGUAGCGGUGAAAUGCUUAGAUAUCACGAAGAACUCCGAUUGCGAAGGCAGUUCACUGGACUGCAACUGACACUGAGGCUCGAAAGUGUGGGUAUCAAACAGGAUUAGAUACCCGUGUAGUC